rnacentral:rRNA from 1 species
CGUGUAGGCGGUCAGGUAAGUGGAAUGUGAAAUGCCCCGGCUCACCCGGGGACCGGCAUCCCAAACUGCCUGGCUUGAGUAUGGAAGAGGAUGGAGGAAUUCCUGGUGUAGCGGUGAAAUGCGUAGAUAUCAGGAGGAACACCGGUGGCGAAGGCGUCCAUCUGGCCCAAUACUGACGCUGAGGCGCGAAAGCUAGGGGAGCAAACG